ensembl:lncRNA
AUGAAACUGCUAGGUCUUCUUAUGACACUGUUUGCUCUUAGCUAUGCAAACUUGGACAAACAAGUUGUGUGUACAACCUUACGUGAACUUCUGAACAGGCUUGAAAAUCUUGAGAAGCAUGAGUUCAAGGCUUUCAGCAAAUCAGUACAAAUCCAAACACCGAAUGCAGAAAUACAGAAUGCAGAGGCCGUGUGUACAACAUUAAGUCUGAUGGAUGGAAACAGACAGUCCCGCAGCUGCUGGCAGCGUCCUGACGAGAUGGAACAUCCCUAACAACACAGCAAGACCGUUAUCCCAGAAAUUGGACUUCCUCUAUAUAAAGACUUCAAGAUCAAUCAAUUCAUGGGUCUUCCUGUGAAUAACCUGCACUUUUAUGUCCCAUUAGUUAUUUUUUGUUAAAGGUAGAGGCAGAUAUCCUUUUCUAACUUAAAGGUGAGAACUAUUAGAACUCUUAUCUAAACAAUAUCAAUGUAGCAUUUAAAGCAGCUAUUUUUAAACAUCAAAUGUCUGAAUCCCCCUUAAAAUAUCAGGGGUUUUUUUACCGACACCUUAUCUAGACUUUGUCCACUACCAAAAAAGGGAGCCAUCAGCUGCAUUGCAAUUACUUUAUUUAUAAACCCCAUCUGGUUAGAACUGGACUAGUCAGAGACACAGACAAGACGCGAUCCAGUCACACAAUACACUACAUAACCCACAUUUUGUGCGUGUUAAUGCAUCACUGAAAUGCAUUCUAUGGAAAAUCCAUGCAUAACACAAUUUAGCCGGUUACUUCCCUGUUUUGUUUUUCAUUGUGGUUGUGAUUUCAGGUUAUCAUCUCAGAAAAAUAUAUUUUUGACACAGACAAAAUGUUCCAUAUAAAAGUACCAAAACAUUUGAUAAGAUGCUAUCUUGACAGUCAUGUGAGUAUUUUGAGGAGGAGUGUGGGAAAGAGAUGGGUUUUGCUGGUUUCCUGCACCAAAAAAAAAAAGUGUUUUCUACCAAUACUUUCUGAUUUUUUGCUUCAGACAAACUGUCAGACAGUGCCAGACGGUGAUGACUGAAAUAAUUCAUACAAGUCAGAUAAUGAUUUUGAAACUGCAAGAGCAGCUGGAGGUUGUGUAAAAGCUCUCAACUCAGCCCUCAGUGACUCCAGACAGGUCGUCUGCUUUAACGCUAUGAUUUAUGGGAUGAUGGUGGCCGAAUCUAAACUCACAGUUCACCGUGCUUUUGAUGAUUCUUCAGGUGUCCACUUUCAUCAAUCCAACCUGAGAAACCAGUAGCCAUGUCUGCAUUGAUCCGAAUCUGAUCCUGACCUUAAUCAGGAAAGAGCCGCAGAGGGAAAUGAUAAACCUUAUAUGGUCAGUUUAUACAAUGAGGCUUUACCAAUCACAUUGAUUAACGAUUUACAUAUGAAUUUCGAUUUUCUAUUAGUAAACCUAAUUAGUAAUAUUUCCUCUAAAACAUGUUGUUGUUGUUUUCUUUUCGAGUCUAAUAAUCAGUAUUCGGAAGCAGAAACUUUGGUUCUUAGGAAACAGAUCCUUUCCAGGUUUCAGUGACUGAUACGAUUAUAGUAAUAUAAUAAUUAAAUGCAAGCAUUUAAUGAUGCCUACCAAUAAAUAUGAUGUGCACAAGGAUCA